AAGGAGAAAAAGGCUAUGCCGUGUUUGGAUGGCCGAAAUAGUGGUUUAGGGGGAAAACCCAGUUGUUUACUGUAACGAAAGUAGGUCAAUUUUUACAGCACCAGUUUCCUCAAAGAUGGCUGGGAGGUCUGCUCGUUUGAAAACACAUCUAACUGUGCAGCAGCGAGAAUCCCAGUGUCGAGCUAAGUGGACCACAUCUCUUACUAUUAUAUUGGUUAGGUUAAUGGUAGACGAAGUUCACGGAGGGCAUAAGCAAAACAAGUCUUUUAGUAAGAAAGGUUGGAAAUGUAUAUGUGAUGAGUUUCAUAAAAGAACCGGUCUUACAUGGGAGAGGGAGCAAUUGAAGUAUCGCUAUGCUGCACUAAGAAAGCUUUUUGUUACUAUGAAGUUGCUACUUGAUCAUACUGAUUUCAAAUGGGAUGAAACUACAGGUUUAGUAACAGCAACAGAUGAAGCUUGGGACCGGUACAUCAAGGAACAUCCAGAUGUGGAGACCAUAAGGAGCACAGGCUGCCCAUUUUACAAGGGAUUGAGUGUGAUAUUUGCGGAUUCUGGAAGUAGAGGGACGUAUAAUGGAUCUAGUAUGAACAAGGACAGUCUCCCCAGUUCAUCAUCUCAUCCUCAACCUUCAACACUGUCCCAGGAAGAGUUGUCAUAUUCAGAGUCUGAAGAAGGUCCUGAUUCCAAUGAGCAAGAAAUUCUUCAAUCUGUGAGCUCACCUACUGAUACAUGUCGAAAGAGAAGGCGUAAGGGGGUUGAUGGUGCUAUUGCAAGAGCUAUAUCCGAGAUGGCUGCUGCUUCAAGACUUAGAGCUUCUGCUAUUGACAAGUACAGUGACAAUUUCACCAUAACCGACUGUAUUAGAGCGUUGGAUGAAUUGGAAGGUGUCAAUGACGAAGUAUAUUAUGCUGCUUUGGAUCUCUUCAACAAUCAUGCAGCUAGGGAGAUAUUCUUAUCUCUCAAUGUUGGGAAGCGGCUGACCUGGUUGAUUGGCAAAUUGUCUGGUCCUCCCUAAUUUAAAGGAUAAGUCCAACUAAUCUUGUUAUGUUCAAGUAAGCAGCCAUCUCCUAUCUCAAGUAGUCAUUUAUUGGUUUUUACAGAGCUGGAAGCUUCAUGUAUAGACCACAUUCUAUCUCUAUUUCUCCUUCUUGUUUUUUUUAUCUCCUUUUAACAACUAGGAGUAAGAAUAUGUUUCAGAAUUUGGCAACUGUGAGAUUGGCAGGAGUUGAAACUUGCUGCAUGAGGGAGCAUUUUGUUAAAAAUUUGAGCACACUUAUCAUGCAUUCGGAUGAAAUAUGGCAGUGUUUCUGUUCAGUAUUA